rnacentral:rRNA from 1 species
AACGUCCGUCGUGGAAAGGGAAACAACCCAGACCGUCAGCUAAGGUCCCAAAGUGUAUGUUAAGUGGGAAACGAUGUGGGAAGGCUUAGACAGCCAGGAGGUUGGCUUAGAAGCAGCCACCCUUUAAAGAGUGCGUAAUAGCUCACUGGUCAAACGCUUUUGCGCGGAAAAUGUAACGGGGCUCAAGCAGUUCACCGAAGCUUCGGAUUGUUAUUUCGAUAAUAAUGGUAGGAGAGCGUCGUGUAGCAGAUACAAGCAGGGGUGUGAACCUCUGUGCGGGCUACACGAGUGAGAAUGCUGGCAUGAGUAGCGAGAAAUAUGUGAGAACCAUAUUCCCCGAAAGCCUAAGGUUUCCGACGGAAGGUCAGUCCGCGUCGGGUUAGUCGGGCCUAAGGCGAGGCCGAAAGGCGUAGUCGAUGGACAUCCGGUUAAUAUUCCGGAACCAGCUGUGGAGCAAUGUGUGACGUGUUUGGGAAGCUCAGCCUCUUAUUGGAUUGAGGUUGUAAACGGCGUAAUCCGUGAUGCCGGUGCCCUAGAGCCAUAAGUGAGUGGGCCCAGACACCUAGAAAAACCACAACGUAUUAAAGCAGCUGCCCGUACCGCAAACCGACACAGGUAGGCGAGUUGAGGAUACUAAGGGGAACGGGAGAACUCACGUUAAGGAAUUCGGCAAAAUGACCCCGUAACUUCGGGAGAAGGGGUGCCCGCGCAAGCGGGCCGCAGAGAAAUGACACUUCCAACUGUUUACCAAAAACACAGGUUUCUGCAAAGUGGCAACACGAUGUAUAGGAGCUGACGCCUGCCCAGUGCUGGAAGGUUAAAGGGAGGCGUGCAAGCGCUGAACUGAAGCCCCAGUGAACGGCGGCCGUAACUAUAACGGUCCUAAGGUAGCGAAAUUCCUUGUCGGGUAAGUUCCGACCCGCACGAAUGGCGUAACGAUCUGGACACUGUCUCAACGAAGGGCUCGGUGAACGUGCAUUGGCGGUAAAGAUGCCGUCUGUCCGCACCAGGACGAGAAGACCCCGUGGAGCUUUACUACAGCUUGACAUUGAGUCGAGUCUUAAUUUGUGUAGGAUAGCUGGGAGGCUUUGAAGCUGGCACGCCAGUGUCGGUGGAGCCGCCGUUGAAAUACCAGCCUGGUUAAGUUUUGGCUCUAACCUGUGACCGUAAUCCGGCAUGGGAACAGUGUCUGGUGGGUAGUUUGACUGGGGCGGUCGCCUCCGAAAGAGUAACAGAGGCGCCCAAAGGUUGGCUCAGACUGUAUGGAAACCAGUCGUAGAGUGUAAAAGCAGAAGCCAGCUUGACUGCAAGACCUACAAGUCGCGCAGGGACGAAAGUCGGGUUUAGUGAUCCUACGGUUCCGAGUGGAAGGGCCGUGGCUUACCGGAUAAAAGCUACCCCGGGGAUAACAGGCUAGUCAGGUCCAAGAGUUCACAUCGACGACCUGGCUCGGCACCUCGAUGUCGGCUCAUCGCAUCCUGGGGCUGGAUAAGGUCCCAAGGGUUGGGCUGUUCGCCCAUUAAAGCGGCACGCGAGCUGGGUUCAGACCGUCGUGAGACAGGUCGGUCUCUAUCCGCUGUGGGCGUAAGAGAUUUGAGAGAGCCUGCCCCUAGUACGAGAGGACCGGGGUGGACGAACCUCUAGUGUGCCAGUUGUUCCGCCAGGAGCAUAGCUGGGUAGCUACGUUCGGAAGGGAUAACCGCUGAAAGCAUCUAAGCGGGAAGCCUGUCUCAAGAUUAGAUCUCUCUGAGACCGCUAGAAGACUACUAGCUUGA